rnacentral:rRNA from 1 species
GGAGCAUGUGGUUUAAUUCGAAGCAACGCGAAGAACCUUACCAGGGCUUGACAUCCCGCUGACCCUCCUAGAGAUAGGAGCUCUCUUCGGAGCAGCGGUGACAGGUGGUGCAUGGUUGUCGUCAGCUCGUGUCGUGAGAUGUUGGGUUAAGUCCCGCAACGAGCGCAACCCUUGUCCUUAGUUGCCAGCAUUUAGUUGGGCACUCUAGGGAGACUGCCGUCGACAAGACGGAGGAAGGUGGGGAUGACGUCAAAUCAUCAUGCCCCUUAUGUCCUGGGCUACACACGUGCUACAAUGGAUGGAACAACGGGCAGCCAACUCGCGAGAGUGCGCGAAUCCCUUAAAACCAUUCUCAGUUCGGAUUGCAGGCUGCAACUCGCCUGCAUGAAGCCGGAAUCGCUAGUAAUCGCGGAUCAGCAUGCCGCGGUGAAUACGUUCCCGGGUCUUGUACACACCGCCCGUCACACCACGAGAGUUUGCAACACCCGAAGUCGGUGAGGUAACCGCAAGGAGCCAGCC